rnacentral:rRNA from 1 species
AAUAGAUACCCGGGUAGUCCACCCCGUAAACGUUGGGACUAGUUGUGGGGUCCUUUCCACGGAUUCCGUGACGCAGCUAACGCAUUAAGUUCCCCGCCUGGGGGAGUACGGCCGCAAGGCUAAAACUCAAAGGAAUUGACGGGGACCCGCACAAGCGGCGGAGCAUGCGGAUUAAUUCGAUGCAACGCGAAGAACCUUACCAAGGCUUGACAUACACCGGAAACGGCCAGAGAUGGUCGCCCCGCAAGGUCGGUGUACAGGUGGUGCAUGGUUGUCGUCAGCUCGUGUCGUGAGAUGUUGGGUUAAGUCCCGCAACGAGCGCAACCCUCGUUCUAUGUUGCCAGCACGUCAUGGUGGGAACUCAUGGGAUACUGCCGGGGUCAACUCGGAGGAAGGUGGGGAUGACGUCAAAUCAUCAUGCCCCUUAUGUCUUGGGCUUCACGCAUGCUACAAUGGCCGGUACAAAGGGCUGCAAUACCGUGAGGUGGAGCGAAUCCCAAAAGCCGGUCCCAGUUCGGAUUGAGGUCUGCAACUCGACCUCA